rnacentral:rRNA from 1 species
UGGGGAAUAUUGGACAAUGGGGGUAACCCUGAUCCAGCAAUGCCGCGUGUGUGAAGAAGGCCUUCGGGUUGUAAAGCACUUUCGGUGGGGACAAACAAGGCGGAGCUAACAUCUCCGUCCCUGAUGGUACCCAAAGAAGAAGCACCGGCUAACUCUGUGCCAGCAGCCGCGGUAAUACAGAGGGUGCAAGCGUUAAUCGGAAUUACUGGGCGUAAAGCGUGCGUAGGUGGUUUGUUAAGUCAGGUGUGAAAUCCCGGGGCUCAACCUCGAAAUUGCGCUUGAUACUGGCAGACUCGAGUGUGGUAGAGGAUAGUGGAAUUCCCGGUGUAGCGGUGAAAUGCGUAGAUAUCGGGAGGAACAUCAGUGGCGAAGGCGGCUAUCUGGACUAACACUGACACUGAGGUACGAAAGCGUGGGUAGCAAACAGGAUUAGAUACCCCCGUAGUCCCUGAGCGGGCUGGCAAGGCGCAU